CUCGACCCGUUAUCCCUUCUUCCUUCUUCCCCUUCACCCACUCACCGGCGUUUAGCCGGAUUUGACCUCACCCCUUCCUCUUCCUCCCAGCCGCCCGCCGCCCGCCUUCGUCCGUGCUCCCGCCCCACUCUCCGGGACCGCCACCACGAACCCGAGGCUUCCUUGGACCUUCGAUGAGCACCCGAGCAAGCCCGUGAGGGGGGCGGCCCGGUUCCUCCGAAGCUCCGUUCUCCGCCAUGCUCGCCGCGGCCGCGGCGGUGGCCGCCCCGCCGACGGCUUCUUAUUACUCCCCUGUGAAACCGUCCAGGAGAUGGAGGGUUUCUUGGAGCUGUCGCGCGGCAACGGUCGAGGCUGGGUACUCCCAAUUGGAGGUAAGAAAAGUUACCUAUCGCCCUCCUGGAACUGAACAUAACUUGUUAAAUGAAAUUAACCUCUCCCUUCGGGAGAAAAGUUUUGGUUUGAUAUUUGGACGGAGUGGGAGUGGAAAGACCACCCUUUUACAGCUUUUGGCUGGUCUAUCAGAACCUACCUCUGGGUCUAUUUGCAUUCAGAAGUAUGAUGAUAGUGGAAAUCCUAUUGGCUUGUCUGAAAUGCUAACUUCUCAAAGAGUUGGAAUCGUAUUUCAGUUUCCUGAGAGGUACUUCUUAGCAGAUACUGUACUUGAAGAAGUUACUUUUGGAUGGCCUAGGCAGAAGGCCGAUCUCCUAUUCAAAGAACAGCUUGCUAAAAAUCUUCAAAAUGCCUUGAACUUGGUUGGUCUGACAACCAUUUCAUUAGAUGAAGAUCCACAGUCUCUAAGUGGUGGGUUUAAGAGGCGACUUGCUUUGGCAAUUCAACUGGUUCAAACUCCUGAUCUAUUGCUGCUUGAUGAGCCACUUGCUGGUCUAGGUAGUGAUUAUAUUAAUCAGACCAAAUCAAUUGGAAGGCUCGGGCUGAUGUUGUGAAUCUCCUGAAGGACCUAAAGAAACACCACACAAUACUGGUUGUAAGUCACGAUCUGAGGGAACUAUAUCCACUAGUAGAUCGCUCAUGGAGAAUGCAAAUGGGAGGGAGUUUGAAGGAGGAAAGUUUGCCUGUGUAAAGAUGUACUUAUUGGUAUAGCUGUCAGGCAUGCUGGCUGGAUGAACAUUACUGGCCAUCCGAAUCUAUUAAGAUCAACUACUUUUAUAAACUUGGGUGUGAUCGAGUAUUUGGUAAUAUGUGAUGACUUGUGCAGAUCGAGAAUCUGGAGACGGAAAAUGCUAGAAAACUUCGAUGGAGAGAUCAUGGACAUUAAUCCCAAACUUUGACUGCUGGAACGGAGAACAGUUUUGUGAGUUGUCAUGCAGACCUUGUCGAGCUAACACGAUUGUUGAACAGUGCUAUUGAAAUUUGAAUUGAGGAUCCAGCUAUAGCUCCUUGUUGCACACAUGAGUGACGAAGAUGGUGAAGCCUUGUGGAUUUUGGAAGAUGGGUCAAAAUGAUGAUGAUAAUGGUGUUGGCAUUUACACUGGAGAGAUUCAGAGAACCUCGUUUACUUUUACUAUUAGUAGAGUUGGCAUCGGAAUUGUUUUCUUACAAAGUUGUUAUGCUGGAAGAAUAUAUUGUGCACUCACAGAGUCUUUCCCUCCAAAGAUCUUUGACCUGCUAUAACCUCCUCUUUUCUCCAUGACUUCUGAGAUAGGAGGAGCAAUCUCAGUCAUACAGUAAGGUUUCUGAAUGUCUGUUUACCUAGGUCCAAAAUGGUGGUCAGCAAAUUCUCUUCCCAA